AACCCCUCACACCCUAACACCCUAACCAUGGUGGGACGACUAGAACAGGAGUUCCACGCUCUGAAGGGAAACUCCCCCUUCCCUGUGUUCCAUUCCAUCCAGAAACAACAUCCGGAAAGCAAAGAUCACAUCACAUCUUAACACCUAAAUGGGAACGUGGAAGACAUUCCUGAAAAUCUGAAGGAGAAACUAAGGUCCUAUGAACCUCAGGAGUAAAAUAACCUGAAACAGGACUAAAACCAUCUGAAACAGAUUAGUGACCUCGUCCCCCAGCCAACCCAUGACCUUUAACCUUGGACAGAUAACACUGGACAGUCUCUGAUAUGAAGUAUCAUAGAGCAUUAUCAUGGAGCAUCGAUGAAACGGAGACAGACUUUGUCCAUCCAGGUCUAAACUGAGACAACAGUGAAAUACUACUGUGUUGCAUAUAUUAAUGUCCUACACUGACCCAGCCAUCCAUGGAGAUCUACGUAGGUGUUCCAAUACAACAUGAUUGAACUCUUAACUGAUAAUGUACCUGUACAUUGAAACCACAUGUGUUUGUUUUGCUCUCUCAAUCAGACUACUGUGCAUUACUGACUACAUUAGUGACUACAUUAGUGACUACAUUAGUGACUACAUUACUGACUACAUUACUGACUACAUUACUGACUACAUGACUGACUACAUUACUGACUACAUUACUGACUACAUGACUGACUACAUUACUGACUACAUUACUGACUAUGAUCCUGAUCAUGAAAACGUGUCACAUGUCAAAGGAGGAAGACAGAUGCAUCAACAGAGAACAUUAAAACUCAUCCUGAUUUUAUUUAUUUUGAUUUAACUUGAAUUUAUUCAGGGUAGCCCAAUUGAGACCAGGGUCUCAUUCCCAAUGGUGCCCUGAGUACAAACAUUUUCUCACAGACAGGAAGAACAAUUAACAUUACAAAUAGAACAAGAAGAAUACAAAUAACCACAAGGCAUCUUCCUUGUUCAGAAGAUAUAAUGGAUGAAUUGUCAUUAAUACAAAAUCAAUUAUAUUAUUAUUAUUAUUACAAACUGUUAAUGCAGAUGUAUUUAAAUAUAUGUUCUUGUAGUUUCUCUACUAUUUAUGUUC